UAAGGAAGCUAGAGAGAGAGAGAGGGAGCUGAAUUCUAUAUAUAUUAUAUGUGUAUAUAUAUUGCAUGGGUAGAGACUCAGAGAGAUGAGUGAGGUGAGAGAAGUGAAAUAUGAGAGAGAGAAUGGGGAUGGGGGAGGGGUGGGUGGUGGUCAUUUGUGGAACCAACUCAUCAAAGAUGUAGUUGUAGGGUCGUGGGUGGUGGUCUGUUUCUAUGCUUUUAUGACUUUGUUUGUCCUUUUUUCACAAAAAUAGUUCUUUCUUUCUCCAUCCCUUUAUUUAUCAUCUCUAUCCUUUCCCUUCUUUCUCUAUCUCACACACCCCAAAUCAUACUUCUUCUACUGUAAUCACACAAACCCAUCUCUCUCUUUUUUUUUUUCUCUCUCUCUCCCUCACACACACAAAUAGUGUGCAAAAUACAGUUGAAUUACAGGUGAAGAAGAAGUGGAAGCCUUUCUCUAUUGAGGGGAAUGUUGUCUGGCUCGAGGUCACCAACUAGAUCUGAUCUAUCAUCUCAUCUCAAUUGAUCAAACAAUUGAGAUCGAGAAGUUGUUUGAUCAUGUGUUUGUGUCUCGGACCAGGCUUCAUUCCCCCCAAUUCUUGCUUCCAUUUUCACACAAAUCAUCCCUGGUUAAAGGAUCUGAAGCUGGGUUUUCUCCUCUCUCUCUCUCUCUAUAUAUAUAUCUGUUCUAAUAUGUACACACACAUAUAUAUGGAUAUAGAUAUAUAUGUAGGAAUUAGGUAAUGGGCAAGAGAAGAUUGGUAUAAUGAUGAACCAUUUUGACUGCUUUUCUGUCACAAAAGAGGGGAAAGCUAGGUGCUAUCAUCAUUACUCUUUUAACUUUUUUACUAAAUUUUAUUAGUGUUGUUAUGUUUCUUUUUGUCAGUCUCUCUAACUCUUUAUGAUGAUUUUGGUCAUGAUGUCUUCAAGAAUCUCCUCUGUCCGUUUCUGAACUGAUCUGCUUUGACUUUAUUAACAUUCAUCAUUACCUUAUGAUUUUCAUCCUUCUUCUUUUUCUUAUUAGGGUUUCAUGAUCUCCCUUGAAAACCUAUCUGAAAAUCAAUCAUCGGCCAUAAACAAAUGCUCUUAAUUUUCAUUUCUUAGCUUCUUCAUAAUUAAUUAGGUAUACACACACGUGUAUAUAUAUAUAUAUAUAUAUAUAUAUUCACAACUACAAUAAUAUAUACAAAUCCAUUUUUCAUAUUUCCUUUUGCAUCCUCGAUCCCACAACCGUUGGAUCGAAAGAUUGUGAAAGUGCGCUCCUGGAUCUAAGACUCAUUCAUGCUCACCUUGAGUUUACUACAUUAUCUGCUUCAUCUAGGGUUGAUUAAAAAAAUGUUAAUAUAUGAAAGUGUACUACUUCUACUGAUUGAAGAAAAAUCUGAAGAUGUUGUGCUUGAGAAGCAACCCUUCCGCCAUAGCAGUACAGCUUAUUAUCAGGAAAAGCAAAUUGUUUGAAUUUGAUUGAUGUGAGAGAUCGGACCUCUGAUGCUUGCGUAGACCUUGUAGUACUAUGCUUGAAUAGGUGCAAUUUGGACCUGAACUCUAUAUAUUCCUUUGUUUUUAGAUUUAAGUUCUACAUUUCAUGAUAUGUGAGUUUUUUUUUUUCUUCCCCUGGAAUUCAAGCAAUGUAAUAUCCUUGGAAUUUGUACUGACUUUCAUGAUUUCUUGUGGAGCAUUUA